rnacentral:rRNA from 1 species
CAGCAGCCGCGGGAAAACGUAGGGUGCAAGCGUUAAUCGGAAUUACUGGGCGUAAAGCGUGCGCAGGCGGUGUUGUAAGACUGAUGUGAAAUCCCCGGGCUCAACCUGGGAACUGCAUUGGUGACUGCAACGCUGGAGUGCGGCAGAGGGGGAUGGAAUUCCGCGUGUAGCAGUGAAAUGCGUAGAUAUGCGGAGGAACACCGAUGGCGAAGGCAAUCCCCUGGGCCUGCACUGACGCUCAUGCACGAAAGCGUGGGGAGCAAACAGGAUUAGAUACCCCUGUAGUCCCUGUUUCUUAUAC